rnacentral:rRNA from 1 species
UAGCAACUUUCAGCAGUGGAUGUCUAGGCUCGCACAUCGAUGAAGAACGCUGCGAACUGCGAUACGUAAUGCGAAUUGCAGGAUUCAGUGAGUCAUCGAAAUUUUGAACGCAUAUUGCACUUUCGGGUUAGUCCUGGA